AGAGCAGGGAGACAGUGACAUUGAGGAGGACGUGUGGCCGACUGAGCUCUGGUCGUGCUUGAUGAGCCUGCCUCCACUGCGUCCAGCCCCCGUGGCAGGGCACCUUCGUGCCUGCUGCUUUCGGAGGUGAUGCCAGUGGCGUCGAAGGAGGGGGCACCCGGGGCGUCGCAGCGCCUUUCCCGCCGCCUGUCCAGGCGUCCGCCGCUGGGUCUGCCCCCAAGGGAUGUGUGGAUCCUACGCCACCUCUGUGUUUUUCUCCAGUCAAACCGAAUUGAAGUCUUUCGCACCCCCUUUCUCCAUUCUCUGGGGAGGGGGAUAGAAGGGAAUCCUUCGAUAAGAUGGAAUGCAUAUGGCCUUUAGGAUUAUUCAGGAGGUUUUAGAAUUUGCAAAUGGCAUUGCUUUCGACUGAAUUUGGAUUUAUGCUGUUUCUUGGCAAUCGUUUGUGGACUCUAGGAUAAACAGGUUAAGAGCGUGGGCUUCUAAAACGAAUUCUUAGUUCACGUCCUGCCCCUGUGCUUGGUAGCUGAUGACCAGAGGCGCCUUUCUCACCUCUUAACGUUUUGAUCUGCAAAAAUGGAGAUAUCCAUCUUGCAACUCUUGUAAGAAAUACACGCAUUAAUACUGAUGAAGCUCUAUAAAACAAAGCUUAGCAUUUAACAAUAGCUAUUAAAUAUUAAUUAUUUAAUCAAUAGUGAUAAAAGUCAGAAUAGUGGUUGGCUGUCGGGGAGGAGUUUGAGAGAAUUUUUUGUAGUGAUGAAAAAAUUCUAUAGCUAAGAGUUUCGGUUACAGAAGUAUAUGCACUUGUCAAAACUCUUGGAAUGGGACAUUUAAGAUUUGUACAUUUCACUGCAUGUAAAUUUACCUCAAAAGAGAACAUAAAAAUGUGUUGUUAUUAUUAUUAGAGCUAUAGACUCUAAUGGAAACUACAGAGAUAUUCUAGGCCCAAUCUCUAGAUUUUAUAGAUGGGAAAACUGAGGCCCAGAAAUUUAAUAGAAAAAAAGAGGAAGGGGAGUGAAUUCGUGACCUUGUCAUUUUCUAGUAAUGAAUAUCUCCUGAAAAAUUAUGGUUGAAAAUAACAAAAAUGGCUCCUGUAAUCCAGCUGAGUCAUCCUACCACAGAGAUUUUCUUGAACUUGACUGAGUCCCUUAUCCACCUUGUGGUGUUCCCCACGGCCAAUGUCCUCUCAAGGAUUGCACCGUCACUUCUGGCUCUCAGUUCUUGCUUUUCCUGAACACUUAGACCUCUCCACAUAUCACCUCUUACAACUCUCCUCUCUCUACUCCUGCUGACACAUAAUUUCGAAAUCAGCCCCUUUUCUUUGGUUGUUU
rnacentral:lncRNA from 10 species